UUUUCGUACUAAAAAAACUAUUAACUUAUAAAUCUAUUUUGCUGCUUAAACUUUCAAUGAAACUUUCAAUGAAAGUUCUUGCUGUGUUUGCAAAAUAUCGAUUGAAUUUAUUUUAUUGUAAUGUUCCGCUUAUAACAUUAAUCUAAUAAAAAUGCCUUUUUGCACAAUGAGCAGUUCAUUAAAAGAAUUGUUUCCUACUGGGAUAUCAAAAGAUGGUUAUAAUAUUGUCAUUUAUAUAAUUAAAAUAUUAUAUAAUUAUAUUUUAUUUAUUAUUUGUAAAAUAUUUUGAAACCAUCUUCUGAACUCCUAACAGUGCUUUAUUCUCUAAAAUGUAAAAUAUUUUCUAUAUUCUAAAAUUCACUAACCAUAAUUCUUUCAAAAUUUUUAAUCGAAUAUCGACAAAACAUUCUAUGUUCAAUCAUUUAUCAUUUCUUAUUUAUUUUUAAUUUCUACAUUUAAAUUUAUAUAUAAAUGAUCCUCAUCUAUGUCAUCUUUACACGAUGAAUGAUUUUGUGUUUUAAAAUUAUGAAGAACAUUCCUUGUGAAAUUACUAACUUUACAUAAAAUAAGAUUUUAUUUAUUUAAAAAUUUUAUGAAACUAUAUAUGAAAUAUUAUUUUAUAUUUCAUAAAAUUUUUUAUGAAUUUUUUAUGAAGUUAUACGUUGUUUUAAAUAUCUUGAAUAAAAAUAAGAAAGAAAUUAUUUUCAAAUUAAAAAAAAAAUAUGUAAAAGGUAAUGUAUGCAAUUUAAAAAGUAUUUAAAAAGAUAUAAAUUUAAAUUUUUAUAUUCUAUUCCUAUUUAAUUCUAGCAUAUAAUUCAAACAUCAUUCAAUAAAACACUUCAAGAGUGUUAAAUUUAUUACUUCUGUCACAAUCAACGUUAUAUAUUCGUAACAUUUGUUUCAUUAUUGAGCAUUCAAUAUUAUCAACCUUAUUAUUUGCUACUAAAUAGCUCAUUGAAAAUUAUUGCCACUUCGAAUACAAUAUCACGCUUAACCAAGCAAAUUAAUUAUACAAAUUACUCUUGCAAAAACUUAUCGUGAUAGAUCCACCUCUGAAUUUAUAUACAGAAGCACAAAAUCUUUUUUACC